UGAGGUGUGGAUAGGGGAGAAAUUCCAAUCGAACCCGGAGAUAGCUGGUUCUCCUCGAAAUAGCUUUAGGGCUAGCCCCGUAUUAGUUUAGCGGAGGUAGAGCACUGAAUUCCUAAGGGGGCGUCAAAGCUUACCAAGGGAUAUCAAACUCCGAAUGCCGCAUAAAUGAUGUACGGGAGUCAGACUGCACGAGAUAAGUUGGGCAGUCAAAAGGGAAAGAGCCCAGACCUACAGCUAAGGUCCCAAAGUGUGUGUUAAGUGGAAAAGGAUGUGGGAUUUCAGAGACAACUAGGAUGUUGGCUUAGAAGCAGCCACACAUUCAAAGAGUGCGUAAUAGCUCACUAGUCGAGAGGUCCUGCGCCGAAAAUGUCCGGGGCUGAAACACAACACCGAAGCUCAGGAAUGUAGUAAUACAUUGGUAGAGGAGCAUUCUUAAAGGGGCGAAGCAGUACCGAUAAGGAGCUGUGGACUUUUAAGAAGAGAGAAUGCCGGAAUGAGUAGCGAGAUGGAGGUGGGAAUCCUCCAGGCCGAAUAUCCAAGGUUUCCAGAGUAAAGCUGAUCUGCUCUGGGUAAGUCGGGGCCUAAGGUAAGGCUGAGAAGCGUAGCCGAUGGACAACAGGUUGAGAUUCCUGUACCGCGUAUCAUCAGAACUGUGGGGACACAGAAGGACAGCACAUCCCGGGAAUGGAAAGACCGGGGCAAGCAGGGUAGGAGUUAAGCUGGCAAAUCCGCUUAACAAUCCGAAGCUGUGAUGCGGAGCGAAUUUAAGUAGCGAAGUGUGCGAUUCCGGCUGUCAAGAAAAGCCGCUAUUGUGUGAUACGUGCCCGUACCGUAAACCGACACAGGUAGAUGAGGAGAGAAUCCUAAGGCCGGCGGGAGAAGCAUUGUUAAGGAACUCGGCAAAAUGACCCUGUAACUUCGGGAGAAAGGGUGCCUGGGAAACCAGGCCGCAGAGAAUAGGCUCAAGCAACUGUUUAGCAAAAACACAGGUCUAUGCAAAACCGUAAGGUGAGGUAUAUGGGCUGACGCCUGCCCGGUGCUGGAAGGUUAAGAGGAGGGGUUAGCGCAAGCGAAGCUCUGAAUUGAAGCCCCAGUAAACGGCGGCCGUAACUAUAACGGUCCUAAGGUAGCGAAAUUCCUUGUCGGGUAAGUUCC
rnacentral:rRNA from 1 species